GGAACGGAUGGCCGAUCCCGCCUUCUGCAAUCUACUUAUCCAAUUGUUAGGUUCUUUCAGCGCGAAGGUCUAAUGGCUUCAACGAGGUUUGCCUGUGCUCAAACCCUAUCGAAAACCUCGAAUUCUCUUCUCCGAUCUUCUCUUUUAGCCCUAAUGGCGUCGAAUUCGCUUCCAACUUCUCGUUUAGGUUACCGUUUUACUCGCAACUGCUCCUCCAGCACCGCUCCAGUUCGCACUUUGGAUUAUGAGUUCACCAAUGGUUCUUCUGAAGUGGAACUGAGAUAACAACUUGGGACACAAGAAAUUGGUAGUUCAAAAGAUGUUUUUGUGGAUGCAAAUCAAGCCUCGUUGAUAAUUAAAGUACAAUGCUUGGGAUCGACUAUUACUUUUCUGGAAACGAAACAACAAUUUGAGAAAAUAAAACCUGCAGAAACUAUAUGGUUUUCCAUUGUUAUGGUACAUAGCCUCCUACAAAUAGUAUGAGUCUUAAUGUCUAAACAUGACAUUUCUAUGAUGAACAGGUAUAUUGAUGAAGAUCAAGUAGUUAUAAAUUCAAAGAAGCAUGAUCCAGACGUGAAAUGGCCCAACAUUUUAGAGUCUUGGUAAUCCCUUAUAGGAGGAUCUACGCAGCUUCCAAAAGGAACAUCGAUGAAUUUGAUAGGGGAUUCAACAGAUAUUAACCAAAAAGUUGGGCAGGAACUCGAAGUUGGGCUAGGGCAAUGUCUAUCGACUGAAUUGUGGCCUUGAAACGUAGCAACUCAAACAAGGCAAACAUUUUAGCGCCAGGUAUACUCCAUCGAGUAGAAAAGAAUUGCGGAAACAUUUUCCAAACUGAUCGUUGAUUCAUGUUUUUAUAAUCCUCCCAAAAUUGAGCUCUACUACCAUCCCCCAUAAAGAAAAGGUAAUGAAAGGGAGGAAACUUGGGAGACCGGGGGGAAAUAACCUUCCAAGGACUUUUGAAGGUGCCCUUAGAUAGUGCCUACAUUUCAAUUAUUGAGAUGAAGCUCACACAUGCACAUAAUUGUCAAAGCAACAAAGCUCGUGGUUAAAAAGGUAUGACCGUGACAUAUGCACACUACACGCACACUACACUAACCUUUCUUUGGCACUGGAUCCAGGUACAAUACCAUGCUGCAAAGCUUGGAGGAUCAAAAUCACUGCAUCCACAUUUGUUGAAGUCUCGUGGAGGGUUUCUUUUGUUGUUAUCCUAACUCGAUUGUGGUACUUGGGAGUCAAAUAAAUUUUGUUGGGUUAUUUGAAUUUGGCUCACACUUGUGAAGGGUUGAACAAUUGAAGUAUAUUUUAGUUGUCUUAAUGCUCUUUGUAUCCAUUUCUCCCAACACCUAAGUAGAUUUGACUUGAGGAUAAUGGGAGUGGGAAACUCAAAUAAGACAAGGAAAGAGAAACAAAGAACCUUGCACCUACAAAUAAUAGUUCACCUUCUUAGUUGUCUACAUUGCAAAUGAUCUUGAAUAAAGGACACUCAUCUCUCUUAAA